rnacentral:rRNA from 1 species
AUGCAGCAGCAGCAGCAAGGUCUCGACAUACAAAAUCUGCAGCGGGAGGUGAAGACGCGAUGGCUCAAGCCCAGAGAGGUUCUCGACAUAUUGCGGAACUGCGAGCUGUUCGGGAUCCAAAACAGGACCCCUCAGAGGCCACCGAGUGGUUCUUGGUUCCUUUUCAACCGUAGGGUACAUCGGUUCUUCCGGAAUGAUGGGUAUCAAUGGCAAAAAAAGAGGAAUGGGAAGAGUGGUAACGAAGCACACGAGUACCUUAAGGUUGACAAUGUAAAGGCACUGAAUUGCUACUAUGCUCGUGCAGAAAAUAACCCUACAUUCAUGAGGCGGAUAUAUUGGAUGCUUGAACCGGCUUAUGAGCACAUUGUUCUUGUCCACUAUAGAGAUGUGCUAGAGGGCAGCAUUUCAGUAUCAGCACUAAACGGUUCACCAACAUCCUAUCAGAAUGGCAGUGCUAGCAGAGCGGAUGCACAUAGUUCACCGGGGUUGACAAGUGAGAUAAUUGCGCCACGUCUCCUCUCGCGCAGCCCAGGAUCCGCGGAAGAAUUGAGUCUGGAAAACAAGGAACGUCAUGAUGUUACUGGCGAGAUUCUGCCAAAUCAUGAUCCUAAUCCUAUUCCUGGGAUCCAGAAUGAAGAAUUCGACACAGGUACAAACCUUGCAGAUAUCUUUUAUGAACUGGAGGAGUUUAGUGAAGACAACCGUACUGAAGGAAGCCAACCUUAUCGCGAUCCUAUUGAUGUCAUAAGAAAUUCAGCAUGGUUGGAAGAGGACCAGCUUAAUUCUUUUCUGCAUUCACCUCCUGUGACAGUUGAUGAAAACCAAUGGUUCCAUAUUUAUGAGGUUUCUCCAGAAUGGGCAUUUUGUUCUGAAAGUGCUAAGGUUGUCAUUGCAGGAGACUUCCCCUCCAAUAUUUUAUGGGUACUAUUUGGUGAUGUUAAGGUACCUGCGGAAAUUGUCCAGCAAGGUGUCAUCCGUUGUUAUACUCCAUCAUACCUUGGUGCUGGAAAGGUGAGAAUGUGCAUGCUCGAUGAGAAUGGGAAACCUUGCACUGAAGCUCGAGAAUUUGGAUUUGUUGAAAAGCCUACCAACACAAUGAUUAUUGGGAACGGGAAACCCUGCAGUGAAGCACGAGAAUUUGAAUUCCAACAGAGGCCUACCAAAAGUGACAAUGAGCUGUUGUUGCUUCUUAACUAUGUGCAGAUGCUUUUUGAUAGUCAUGGCUGUGAACUCUUCUCAAAGUUCAGGUCGCCACUCCCAAAUGUCCAGUCUGGAUUCCCAGUUAACCCCUCAGAGAUUAUAGGGAGAACAUGUGAGCAGUUGGACCAUGAGAAUGCAGUAAAUUGCAUCAUGGAAGUGAUGCUUAACAGUAAGUUCGAGGACUGGCUAUCAUCCAAAUUUGAACAGAACAGUGAAGGGGUGUAUUUGCUUCCUAAGCAAUACCAUGGUGUUAUACAUACAAUUGCUGCACUGGGAUACGACUGGGCUCUGAAACCGCUGCUUAAUAAUGGCGUGCCUAUAAACUACCGUGAUGCAAAUGGAUGGACCGCUCUGCAUUGGGCUGCACGAUUCGGAAGGCAACAAAUGGUAGCGGUUCUUGUUGCUGCAGGCGCUGCUGUAGGUGCACUUUCAGAUCCAACAGCGGAAGACCCUGCUGCCAAGACACCUGCUUCGAUAGCGUCUGCAUAUGGUUUCAUAGGCAUCUCUGCAUUCCUUUCAGAAGCAGAACUAACCAGUACCUUUCAUUCUCUGGAAUCACAAGAAAAUGGGAAACCCGUAGAUCAUAAUGGUGGAGUGAGUACAUCUAGUGCCGUGGAUAGAGUAUCAGAUAAAUGCGCACAUAUGGAUGGUGGAACUGAUGACCAGCUUGCACUGAAGGAUUCUUUAGGAGCUAUCCGAAAUGCUGUUCAAGCUGCCGGGUGCAUACAAGCUACCUUCCGUGUGUUUUCCUUAAAAAAGAAGAAACAAAAGGCUCUUCAGAAUGGAGAUAGCUCUGCUUCGCCAUCUAUGCUCGAAAGAGCUGCAUUAUCUAUCCAGAAGAACUUCAGGUGCUGGAAGAAACGUAAGGAAUAUCAGAAAGUUCGGAAAAAUGUCAUCAAGAUUCAGGCACGGUUCAGAGCUCACCGAGAAAGAAACAAGUACAAGGAGUUACUUCAAAGUGUUGGCAUCCUUGAGAAGAUCAUGCUGAGGUGGUUCCGAAAAGGCGUUGGUCUGCGAGGAAUCAAUAGCAGGGCGAUGCCAAUCGACCAAGACGAGGAAGAAGACAUUGUCAAGGUUUUCCGCAAGGAAAGAGUGGAGACAGCUGUCAGUGAGGCUGUUUCGAGGGUAUCGGCUAUCGUCGGUUGCCCUGUCGCAAGGCUGGACUACCGCAGGAUGCUCGAAAUGCACCAACAAGCAAAGAUUGGCCAUGGAAAGUAG